GCUAUUAGAGAGGAUUGAUUUUAUGGCCAAGUGCUUCAUAUUUAAUGACUCUAACGACCGAUACCAGUCUACGUUGAAACUAGUUAUAGAUUCAGUUAUCGAUUGAACGAUUACUCAUAGUGAUGCGGUGAAUUGCAGUACUUUCUGUUUCAACAUACGGCGUUACGAGGAUAACAGUGUGAGAGGGAAAUAGAUUUAACCGAAUAAACAUUAGCUGCAGUAGUUUGAAAGUUCACGGCGGAAAGCAUAUCUUAUAGGUUCUGUUCCUCAUUCCGAGUCAUAGACAUUGUAUGGAUGUUCUUCAGAAAAACGUCUUUUAGUUUUUCAUAAACACAAAACUUACCUUCUGCAAAAUAUUACUCAUCAAAAUACAUUGCCAUACUAACAGUCACUGUCAAUACUUCUUCAAUUAUCGUUAUAUCGGCUUGGAAAGGAUUAGUUAUAAAGUCAAAGAAAAUAUUUUAGUUGACAUAAGUUGAGUAGUAAAAUGGGACAAACAAAUUCAUCACUCGACUUUAGAAAGAAAGUUUUCUGCGAAAUCCAUGUUUCAAAAGAAGCAUCUGCUUUCUGCUUCACACACAAAACUCUUAUAUGUAUGUCUUGCAUAGCGGAAAAGGUGCACUUUAAUUUGGAUUGUAAAGUUCAAGAAAUGGCCGGAAUGAAUUAUCAAAUGAAAGAAUGCUUUGGCAUGUUGCAAGAAAUCGCUAAGACUAAAAAGACGAUGACAGUGAAUCAGAGAGAAAGAAAGAUGAAACAAGAAAUUGAAGACGCAUACACAAAAGCACUGGACAAUCUAGAGAAACUAAGACUGGCACAUUAUGAAGUAGCAAGUGAGGAAAUUGCAAACAUGAAAAAACGUGAAGAUGAAACAUUUUAUAAGCUUUAUAAAGCAAUUGAUUACUUCAGUGUUGGCAAUGAAAAAGAAGCGGAAAGCUUGAAGAAGGAGAUAUUGAUGGAACAUUUCGGUUGUGAAUUAGUUUUUCAAAAAGUAAAACCAGCCUUUACUGAGCUAGAGAGGUCUCUGAAAAAUGUGAAAGAAAUGCGUACCAGAUACAGGGAAAGCAUCUCUCACGGCAACCAGGUGGUGGAUUCUGACUUUGUUUAUGAAUAGAAACGACAGUAGGUUAACGAAGAUAUUUGUUCUAUGGCAGCUAGCUUUGCUCUAGCAACGUAAAUAUAUAUGUAAAUGUAAGUAGACAAUGAAAUACCUGCACAUUUCAGCACAAUAAAAAACUUUUUUGUGGGGGAAAAGUAUCGACUGUCUAGAUUUGUACAGGCCACUAAAUAUUGACACAAAAUAUUAGAUCUGAGAUAGUUUUGACAUCUCAAAAUGGUGUCAAUUAUAUAAAUAAAUAUGUAUAACUUGAUGCAAGCUUUUUACGGUAUUAAAAUUUAUUUUUUCGAUAUCAUAAUUGAUACGCAGUGAAUUCCAUGCAUAGGCAUUUAUUUUUGCAACAAAACUUUUCAUAUGUGAUAGCAGACAUGUGUAGGAUUCUUCAAAUACCUUCGCGACACGUUAACCUACAUAUAAUUAACAAAAACCGCACAGUUUAGCAAAAGAAAAGUAUUAUUUUGAGUAGUUAAAUGUAUUAAAUAUAAUCAAAAUUAUUUAUUACAGUCGUAUUUCUUCUUGUACUAUCAUCAUGCCUGAAAAUGGCACGAAGUCAAUCGGAUUAACGUUUAUAAAUAGACGGAAAGAGUAAGGAAUAAUAAGUUACCUGGCCGAUUUAAAUUUUUGAUUUAAGUUAGAUGGUCUAAAGUGUUCUGACAGCCACGAUUUUAUUGAAUCAUUCUUGAAUUUUGAGAUUUUUCUCCAAAACUGCACAUAGAGCUUUAAAGACUGGGCAGUUGGGUCCUAGUAUUUUUAGCUUUCAGUUAGUACACUUGCAUCAAAUGCACAAAAUUAAUGCAUUUGUCAUUCAACUGACUCGGCUGAAUGUAACUACCAAACAGAUAUUUCCUUCCCGCAAAUUAAGCUUUUAGUUUUGACCUAUUGCAGAUACUUAAUUGAAAAUGGAAGUAAUGCAACACAAAACAUGGCUGUACACUGGAUUAUUUUGAUUUCAACUGUUGAAAAAGCUUUGAGGAAAAGGAACUCUCAGAUCCCCAAGCAAAAAUUAUGUAGCGUUUCGAAGUUUUCGCUUUAGACAAAAGGAGAAAAUUCACUUUUGUCCAAACAUUAAGAAGAUAAAAAUUAUGAUAGCAAACUAUGGUGUAAAUUUUCACGAAUUAAUAUUUUCCAUAUUAGGCUGAAAUUAGCCUUGACCUUUGAUUAUAAAAUAACAUUUAUGUUAUAUACAAGAUUUAUUUAUUCAAAAGUUAAAAAAAGAUAUAUAAUCUACAAGAAGUAUUUUUGCGUAAUCACUUUUGUCUUUCAGAUGAUAUACAAUUAAAUAAUACUAAAAAUUUAUUUCAUUGUCCAGUAUAUAUAUCAAAGUAAGAAACAUUAAAAAUCAUUCUUGGUAUCAAAAUUGUUGCAGAAAGCCAGCUCCUCUCAAAUACUGUAGACAUUGCGCGCGCACUUUUAUACACACUAUUUUUUGGAUAUGAUUAUUUGUAUUUUUGCAAGUACAUGGUAAUUAGACAUUAGUUAUGCAUGCUAAACGUUGUUUGCCUAUUUUAGUUAUUUUGUUUCAAAGAAUAAAAUAUAUAAACACUGAAUUACGGAAAUUCACAUUAUUGUCGAAUAGGUUAGAUAUUCACGAAAUGAAUGUGUACUUUCAAUUCACACAUCCGGUAUUUAACAUUUUACAGAGGAACUAGUUUAGUUUAAACAUACUUUUAUUCAGAAAAUCAUGAAAUAUUUACAGUAUAACAUUUCAGGAAUUGUACAGACAGCUAUAUUAGCUUACAGGCAUCCUCUCCUUACAGAGGAACUAGCAAAUUCUAUUUAGUUAACCUCUUUAUGUUCUUUAGAACUCUCAAAGAUCUUCUUGCUCCCUAAUUUGAAAUGUGACCUAUAGAUAACUCGAUAAAUCACCUGUAGUUCUUUUGAAUUUUUUGCUUUAUGUUAGUGUUUCAAAUUGGCCUUCCACAGAAGUAUGUUUUUAAAUAUUGAUUUCGUAAAUUAUGAUAUUUGGGCAUAAUAAAAGAACAUGUAACUCAUUUAUUUUCUAUUACAUUCAUGGUGCAUUUUUGACUUUUCCCUUCUUUCCUAGCACCUUCGUGGUACCUACCUUUUUCAUUUGCAAGGUUAUGUGAAGAGAUUCUAAAUUUUGUAAACAAAUUCCAGUAAUCGGAGCGAUAACAGAAUAAAGAUUUUUUUUUCAUUUUGUAACAAUAGUUUUAUAUAAAUGGUGUUAACGUUUUUGUACAUAUUUUAUAAUCCGUUUCACAUUUUUGUUUGGAAUAAAUGGCACGUAGA
rnacentral:lncRNA from 1 species